GCGAAUGGGCUUGCAAAACACAAAUUCUUGAAAACACAUUAGUUCGCCCAAUAAACACUAAUAUGAUGAUGUCACAAACUCUGCAACGCUCAACCGUUUCUUCUUCCUUUCUCCCACAUCCCUCCAGUCACCUCACUAAUUAACCAUAAUAGAAGCGAGUGCAUGAAGCUCAACGUCGGCGGAGAAAUCUCCGAAACCACCACAUCGACCAUUCAAUCAACUUGCACAUACUCUCUCCUCGCUGCUCUCUCCACCGCAACCACCUAUGGAUCCAAUCCCGUCUUCACCGAUCGCAACCCGGAGAUCUUUUCCGUCACUCUCAACCUCCUUCGAAUUGGACGCCUCCCAGCUAACUCCUCCGGCGUCUUCUCCAAGCAGGAACUACUCAAUUAAGCUCUUUACUACGGAGUCGAGUCGCUCCUCCGGUCGGCGAUGCUGCCUUCUGCAGUUUUUUUAUUUACUUUUUCAUCUGAAAAGACGAGCUGCGUUUCAAAGCCGACAAAUUUAUGGUGCGCCGUAUCGACCACCUACAAGUGUUGGCGAACACAAACUUUGAGCUUCCAGAUGUCGUGGGUCAGAUCCACUCUGUUUAGGGGUCGGAUCUCCAAAACAACGCAGCCACAAGCAGAGUUGUUGUCCGCCUCUUACUCGAACCAUAAGUUUUUAUUUUAAUUUUUUUAAUGGUCUCAAGUUGUGUAUCAAAUUUUUAAAUGGUUUGGCCCGUUACCUCUUGAUUGUUGACGAUGUGUAAGGUUUCUGUCCUUUCAAUUGUUCUUCCACAAAACGGCGCUUUCUAUUCCGACGACUUCAUUCAUGUAACUCCAUCUCUUCGACUGCCGAUUAAACGAUUUGUCUUCGUAUAACGCGUUUUUCAGGCUCCUUUAUAUAGAGGGCGACGGAGGUGAGCUUUGAUUGCCUCAUAAUUUUCUUCCUACACUUUUUUCUACGUUUACCUCUGUAACUCCCGUUGCUAAUGCCGUCGUCGCCCACUCCACUUUCAACUCUCUUCGCCUUGGAAUAACUGCUCAGUACGUAGUUGGUACCUUUGCAAUCGCUUUGAUGUUCUGUGGUUAUCCUCAAAUGAAUUAAUUGGACUUACUAACAAAAUUCACUUUUUAGAUGCUUCAAAAUAGGCUCCUAUUGUUACUUCUCUUACGGAAUUCAUACGUAAAAAACGUGCUACUGUGAUUGGAUCCCAGCAACAGGGUUUAUUAGAUGGUCGAAGAGGAGGCAGAAGAGCCAGAGCAGUCUCUGCAAACAAGCCAAGUUCGAGACCUUCGAAACGAAACUCUGAGAAGAAAAAGUAUGUGGAAAAAGAAAAUUCAAAAGGUGUACCCGUACGGUUUCAUCAGACGUCAGCAGCUCCAAGCACGAUUACAAUCAGGCAAAUUCAAGUGGAAAGGACUUACCAGCAACUGAAAUUGUCUCUGUCAUGGAUAGCUCUCUCUCCCAGGUAUUGCAUUGACUAUGGAUUCCGGGAAGAAAAAGAUCAUGCUCCCUGUUAACUCUCCAUUACAAGCGGAACAGUAGCAGAUAUAAGCUAAUCUUUCUGCAAGCUCCUAAACUUCAAGACAGAAUCAGAAGACAGAUGUUUGUGGGAGGUUGAUCAAGGGAAUACUUCGGAGAAAGGAGCCGCAGUCUAUCCAGGCUGCCUCUUUGGUCUAACCUGAGCAAAAAGUGGAACCCACAGGAACACGAGAGAAAAAAAAACAUAUUACAAUUCUCUGUCUUUUAAAAAAAAACAAUUGGUAAAAUAAGAGAAUAUCCUAAAUCUUCUUAAAAAAUAUCAGAAUUCUAUGUUUUUUUCAAAAAAUUGUAAAAUAAGAGAAAUAAUUCAUUUUAUUGUUUGUUUAAACUGUUAAGUUUUUAAAUCUAAAUUUAUUAUCUUUUUUCAUACA